GCAGUGGUGGUUCAGUGGUAGAAUUCUCCCCUUCCAUGUGAAAGACCCCGGUUCGAUUCCUGGCCAAUGCA
rnacentral:tRNA from 1 species